rnacentral:lncRNA from 1 species
CUCCCUCUCCACGACACAUGAACAACGAAUAGGAUAUCCACAUUGCAGUAUUCACAUUUCACACAAUAGAAUUGCUAAUGACGAGGUACAGAAUGAGUAAUGCAACAACUUGAGAUAGGACAGGUCAUCUUAUGUAUCCUUAUUGAAUCAAGAGGCACAUAUACACCGCUUGGUAAAGAAAAUUGCCACGAACUACGAAGGGGCACAAUUCGCAGAAUCAAUAUGUAUUUUCUUCUCUUGUGAUAGUGUUUAGGACGCGGGAAUCAAACUGAAAAAUUGAGUAGGAACAGUGGCAAGACUUUCUUCUGCUGCUUACCUCAUUCUUUGAAAGAUUAAUUAUUAACGAUGACUGUUUUGAGGUUUCCUAUGUGCCUGCAGCGUUCACUGUAGAGGAGUUUAAUCUUCAGAAACUUCCGAUUACCGUGCCAAAAAAACAAUGGUCGAGACAGAUGGAAUGGAUCUACUCUGGCGAGCAUUGUACGUCGGAAGUAAUUAGGCAAACACAAGAAGAAGAUAAAUGUAACAGGCAAAUAAACUACGCUUUCUUUUCGCGAUAAAAAAAGAAGAAGAAGCAGUUCCGGCAUAGCAUUCCCUGAUCUGGUUUUUGAUUCUUGCGGAACUGAUCAUCUGUUCAUG